UGGUUAGCGGCGGACGGGUGAGUAACACGUGGGCAACCUGCCUGUAAGACUGGGAUAACUUCGGGAAACCGGAGCUAAUACCGGAUAAUCCUUUUCCUCUCAUGAGGAAAAGCUGAAAGUCGGUUUACGCUGACACUUACAGAUGGGCCCGCGGCGCAUUAGCUAGUUGGUGAGGUAACGGCUCACCAAGGCGACGAUGCGUAGCCGACCUGAGAGGGUGAUCGGCCACACUGGGACUGAGACACGGCCCAGACUCCUACGGGAGGCAGCAGUAGGGAAUCUUCCGCAAUGGACGAAAGUCUGACGGAGCAACGCCGCGUGAGCGAUGAAGGCCUUCGGGUCGUAAAGCUCUGUUGUUAGGGAAGAACAAGUACCGGAGUAACUGCCGGUACCUUGACGGUACCUAACCAGAAAGCCACGGCUAACUACGUGCCAGCAGCCGCGGUAAUACGUAGGUGGCAAGCGUUGUCCGGAAUUAUUGGGCGUAAAGCGCGCGCAGGCGGUCCUUUAAGUCUGAUGUGAAAGCCCACGGCUCAACCGUGGAGGGUCAUUGGAAACUGGGGGACUUGAGUACAGAAGAGGAAAGCGGAAUUCCACGUGUAGCGGUGAAAUGCGUAGAGAUGUGGAGGAACACCAGUGGCGAAGGCGGCUUUCUGGUCUGUAACUGACGCUGAGGCGCG
rnacentral:rRNA from 1 species